UGCACAAAAAAUCGAGCUGGGGGGUUCCCUGGUCCCCGAUGUUGAAGCGGGGAGCGCGGCGCCGAGGGAGGGGGCGGCGCAGACUGGCCUAGGGGACACCUGGUCGAGCGCCGCCGCCGCUCCGCUCGAGCCCUGCGCUCCAGUGCCCCCACUGGCUGGAGAGCUCGCUUAGAUCGGGGGUCUUCCUCCGCCGCUGACAGAUUUUAACCUUUAGAAGAGAACCAAUUCUGGAAAACAACCAGAGUUUCCGAUUGAAUACGCACGUAAUGCAUUGGAAUAUGAUGGGGGAUUAAGGUUUAACAAUGAUAAAAUGAAGAUAUUACUAAAAUGACCCUCAAAGUAGCCCUACAAUUAUUAUUUUGUUUAUCCUGUGAAUUUGGCUUUGAAAGGUGUGCUACUCUUAAUAAGAGGGAGAGACAACGGGAUUCGAACUCGGAAAGAAGGGCACGGCUGCCCUCUGGAGGCGGCUGCCCAAGGCGUGCGCCACCGCUGGCUUGCUAACAGGAGAUUUUUAACAAGUCAAAAGUAUGAAAGACUUACGUGACUUAAUAUUUAACUUCAGAUUAAAGCUACCAUAGUUAUUAAUUUUAUAAAUACAUUCAGAAUAUUUUGAUUAUAUUUCAAAGGAAAUGUUCUUUUGACUAUCCUAUGUUCCUUAUUGGAAAUCUUUUAAGUCAUUAUUUUAAAAUGUUUAAGAAAAUGCAGGUAUCUCACAAUAAUGUUCUCUAACUGUGUCAUUACUUCUUACAAGGAACCUCUUACCUUUUCAGAUUAAAGAUUCUUAAUGAAUUCUACCCAAUAUCAUGUGUUGUGGAGAUCCUAAAAGUAUUUCAGUUAAUUUUUAAGGAAUUGUAUUCAAAGGAAUCACUACUCAAUUCUAAUUUUAAGGUAAAAUUAUGUAAGUUUUAACUAACUGUUUUAAUUAAUUAUAAAAUAAGAGUCCGUUUUAGGAGCAAUCACUGUUUUUCCGAUGGGGAUGUCCAUAACUACAGUAGCAAAAGAUGAUAGACUGGCUAGAAGGUAAAGCUUUUAUAUAAGAGUGAUAUUGGCUCUUCUACAAGUCACUGUGGGCCAUUGAGGUAAGCGUUUUUACAUAAGCAUGGUGUCUCUUCACAGCAAUAGAAAACUCACUAAGAUUAAUUGUACAUAACUUUUU